CAAGAGGCUGUUUUAGCAGCCAUUCAAAAAUGUUACAAUAUUGUA
rfam:Ophiophagus hannah scaffold3948.1, whole genome shotgun sequence.